rnacentral:rRNA from 1 species
UACGUAGGGUGCGAGCGUUGUCCGGAAUUAUUGGGCGUAAAGGGCUCGUAGGCGGUUUGUCGCGUCGGGAGUGAAAACCUCGGGCUUAACUCGGGGCUUGCUUUCGAUACGGGCAGACUAGAGGUAUGCAGGGGAGAACGGAAUUCCUGGUGUAGCGGUGAAAUGCGCAGAUAUCAGGAGGAACACCGGUGGCGAAGGCGGUUCUCUGGGCCGGUACUGACGCUGAGACGCGAAAGCGUGGGGAGCGAACAGG